CGCGAAACUAAAGCGGUGGGCUAAGCAUGUAGAGGCUUUACGCCGAUAGUUUUCGGACGCGGGUUCGAUUCCCGCCGCCUCCACUU
rnacentral:tmRNA from 1 species